rnacentral:rRNA from 1 species
UACGGAAGGGGCAAGCGUUGUUCGGAAUUAUUGGGCGUAAAGGGCGUGUAGGCGGCUUCGCAGGUCGGUGGUGAAAGCAUACAGCUCAACUGUAUUGAGCCACGGAAACGGCGGAGCUUGAGGCUGGGAGGGGCUGGUGGAAUUCCCUGUGUAGCGGUGAAAUGCGUAGAGAUGGGGGAGGAACACCAAUGGCGAAGGCAGCUCGCUGGGACGGUACUGACGCUGAGACGCGAAAGCGUGGGGAGCAAACAGG